rnacentral:rRNA from 1 species
GUCAGAGGUGAAAUUCUUGGAUUUUUGGAAGACGAUCGGAUGCGAAAGCGUUUGGCAAGGAUAUACCCAUUGAUCAAGGACGAAAGUUAGGGGAUCGAAGACGAUUAGAUACCGUCGUAGUCUUAACCAUAAACGUUGCCACCUAAGAGAUGGUGUACUGAAUUGAAUCGUACAUCCUUUUUUUCCGGGAAACCAAAGUUUUUGGGUUCUGGGGGGAGUAUGGUCGCAAGUCUGAAACUUAAAGGAAUUGACGGAAGGGCACCACCAGGAGUGGAGCCUGCGGCUUAAUUUGACUCAACACGGGGCAACUUACCAGGUCCGGACAUUUUUAUGAUUGACAGAUUGAUAGCUCUUUCAAGAUUGAAUGGGUGGUGGUGCAUGGCCGUUCUUAGUUGGUGGAGUGAUUUGUCUGGUUAAUUCCGUUAACGAACGAGACCUUUUCCUUCUAACUAGUAUGAUUGCAAUCGAGAUAGUUUGCGAUUGACUUCUUAGAGGCACUAUUCGUUUUUCACGGAUGGAAGAUAUAGGCAAUAACAGGUCUGUGAUGCCCUUUGAUGUCCUGGGCUGCACGCGGGCUACACUGAUGCACUCACUGAGUGAAUUGAUACCUUUUCUGAUAAGAACGUUUGGGUAAUCUUUGAAUGUGCAUCGUGCUUGGGAUUGAGAACUGUAACUGUUUUCAUGAACGAGGAAUUCCUUGUAAACGCGAGUCAUCAACUUGCGUUGAUUACGUCCCUGCCCUU